GGUUUUUUGAAUUAUAAUUUAAGAUUAGUUCUGCUCAAUGAUUUGAAAUUAAAUAGCCGCAGUAUUUUGACUGUGCUAAGGUAGCAUAAUCAAUUGUUUUUUAAUUAAGAACUGGAAUGAAGGAAUUGAUGAGAUUAAGACUGUCUAAUAUAAAAUGUUAAAAUUUAAAUUUUAAGUAAUAAUUCUUAAAUAAAAUUAUGGGACGAGAAGACCCUAUAGAAUUUGAUAUAAUUUUUUAAAAUAAAUAUAAAAUAAGAUUUAAUAAAAUUAAUAUUUUAUUGGGAGGAUAAUUAAAUUAAAUUAACUUUAAAAUUAAAAUUGAACAUUAAUUUAUGAUAAUAAUUGAAUAAUUUUAUAAUAAUAAUUAAAAUUAAUUAAAAAUUAAUUACCUUAGGGAUAACAGCGUAAUAUUUUUAAAAAGACCAUAUUGAUAAAAGUGUUUGCGACCUCGAUGUUGAAUUAAAAUAAAAAUUAAAUGAAGAAGUUUAAUAUUUUA
rnacentral:rRNA from 1 species